UACGGAGGGGGCGAGCGUUGUCCGAAGUCACUGGGCGUAAAGCGCGCGUAGGCGGGCGGUUAAGUGGGGAGUGAAAGGCUGGGGCUCAACCCCAUGCAGUGCUCCUCAUACUGGCCGUCUUGAGGGCGGUAGGGAGAAGUGGAAUGGCUGGUGUAGCGGUGAAAUGCGUAGAUAUCAGUCGGAACACCGGUGGCGAAGGCGGCUUCUUGGGCCGUCCCUGACGCUGAGGCGCGAAAGCUGGGGGAGCGAACGGGG
rnacentral:rRNA from 1 species